GACUUUACCCCACUCAAGAAUCAGAGUCUCCCAAACGUUGUUGGGGUUGCUAGGCAACGCCCCGAGAUUACAUCACUCACACAAGCUGAGCUGCCCGCAAUGUCAUCUCUGCAUGGUUACAGCACUUCUGUGGAGAGGACAGCCCAGGAUUUGAGCCCACCCCUAGCUACCCCAGACCUUGGCAGGUGACCGUCACAGCAGCACACAGUCUCAGAGUUACCCAAGGUCACGGAGCUGCAAGGGGAGCAGAAUGAGGCCAUUACACCAGCCUCUAAUGUCCCCGCGGCCUCAGCUCGCUAGCUGCCUCGAUCAAGCACCCGGGACACUCCAAUUUCCGCCUGUCCUGAGGUGAUCGUAUCAGGGCCUGAGUGAUCUCCUUGCCGGCGGGCAGUGGAGAUGCUGUGGCAGCAAGCUGGCUGUUCCCCUACUCGGCCACCUUCUGAGUCCACACAUCCUCUCCCUUGGGAACAAAAGGGAGGCACCAGCUGAGACCAUUGGCUGAGAAAUGGCUGGCAGGAUGUCUCCCUGCGCUUCACCCUUGCCCUGUAAGAGUUCAGACUUAGUUCAGCUGCUGGCUGGCCAGGAGCACCAGCCAUUGCCCAUCACUCUGGCUGGCUGGAAGGGCUAGGAUGCUAGGCUCUAGUUGUUCUGCAUGGGAUGGGUGGGUGAGGAGCUACGCUAGCUGGGGGGGCUGGGGGUAAUAGCUACCCUCAGGGAUUCUUAAGGCUCCAGACCUCUGUCACUCAUCAUUUCGGUUUAUAAAAGGCCCGUGGUCCCGGGAUAUUGGCUGAUGCUGAGCCCUGUGCUGACCUUCCCUCCCAUCUGCCAAGGGCAGGAGCUGGAUGAGAUGGCCCAGGGUAAAGAAUGAGUUGGCAAUCCUGGAUUUCUGAUCCUCACCCCUUAGAAGUUUUUGUGCUGGUCCGCAUGUCACACUUGGCCCAUCUGCAAGGGAUGUGGAAGCCAUGAUGCUGGCUCUGGUCUGGGAAACUUUUUAUUAAGAUCUAUCUCAACAAAAAUAGCGAAAAUGCAAAUGUCUCUACAUCCUCAGCAAGAGGGGAAUGUAGUCCCUUAGCUUCUUGGCGCUGAAUUGGAAGUGGCUGUGGUCAUACUCAGGACCACAGCUCUGAAACAGAGUUUAGGUAGACAGUGCUCAGGGGGUGAGGUGCUGGCAUCAGAGGCGAUAGGGGUGGACCCAGAGAGUGUGCUUAUCUGGAGUGUAUGUUUACAAACUCUCAACUGUACAUGGAAAGGGACAACUUCUGCCUGGGACAAUGCCACAGGACUACUUACUUGUGCAAUGGGCACAGAUCAUAAUCAGGUGAUCACUGGCUGAGAUACUGCCAUAAGCCAGAACGGGACCUCAUGCCAGCUGUCCUUCUGUCUCUUUGCCCUUUGCUAGGCCUGCAUUGGCUACUGGUCCUAAAGCCCAGGGUAGGGUCCUUGGGGUAGGGACUCCUUCCAAAGGUUUGGCUGCCAAUGUGCAACAUGGGGUCCUUACUAACUAACCUGGACCACUUCCAGUUUUCUCUGGCUUGGGAAAGCAGCCUGUAGGGGUUGGCUUUCUACUCUAGCUGGAAGGCAGGACUCUGUUAGGCAUGCACUGCCCUCCUCCAUGUCUCCCCGUGAUUUCUACUACACUGUAAAUAAACCAACACCAGGAUUAAACCCAUGGAGGAUGGUGGUGGGGGACACAGAGCUUAGACUGGAAUUGGAACUGCAGAGCCAAUCAGCAUUUAUGUACAUUGUUAUUCUGCUUGCAUAUAUGUCUGUGUGAGGGCAUCAGAUUCUCUGGAACUGGAGUUAAAAAGAGUUGUGAG